GACGAACGCUGGCGGCGUGCCUAAUACAUGCAAGUUGAGCGCUGAAGGUUGGUACUUGUACCAACUGGAUGAGCAGCGAACGGGUGAGUAACGCGUGGGGAAUCUGCCUUUGAGCGGGGGACAACAUUUGGAAACGAAUGCUAAUACCGCAUAAAAACUUUAAACACAAGUUUUAAGUUUGAAAGAUGCAAUUGCAUCACUCAAAGAUGAUCCCGCGUUGUAUUAGCUAGUUGGUGAGGUAAAGGCUCACCAAGGCGAUGAUACAUAGCCGACCUGAGAGGGUGAUCGGCCACAUUGGGACUGGGACACGGCCCAAACUCCUACGGGAGGCAGCAGUAGGGAAUCUUCGGCCAUGGACGAAAGUCUGACCGAGCAACGCCGCGUGAGUGCAGAAGGUUUUCGGAUCGUAAAACUCUGUUGGUAGAGAAGAACGUUGGUGAGAGUGGAAAGCUCAUCAAGUGACGGUAACUACCCAGAAAGGGACGGCUAACUACGUG
rnacentral:rRNA from 1 species